rnacentral:rRNA from 1 species
AAUUCAAGCUUGCUUGAAUGAAGGAGAGGCGAACGGGUGAGUAAUACAUAAGCAACCUGCCCACGAAGACUGGGAUAAUUCCUGGAAACGGGGACUAAUACCGGAUAGGCAAUAAUGACGCAUGUCAAUAUUGUUAAAGGUUAAAAACACUGGUGGAUGGGCUUAUGGCGCAUUAGUUAGUUGGUGAGGUAACGGCUCACCAAGACGAUGAUGCGUAGCCGGCCUGAGAGGGUGAACGGCCACAUUGGGACUGAGACACGGCCCAGACUCC